rnacentral:rRNA from 1 species
GAGCGCUGUAGCAAUACAGAACGGCGCACGGGUGAGUAACACGUGGGAACGUGCCCUUUGGUUCGGAAUAACCCAGGGAAACUUGGGCUAAUACCGGAUAAGCCCUUACGGGGGAAAGAUUUAUUGCCAUUGGAGCGGCCCGCGUCCGAUUAGCUUGUUGGUGAGGUAAAAGCUCACCAAGGCAACGAUCGGUAGCUGGUCUGAGAGGACGACCAGCCACACUGGGACUGAGACACGGCCCAGACUCCUACGGGAGGCAGCAGUGGGGAAUCUUGGACAAUGGGGGAAACCCUGAUCCAGCCAUGCCGCGUGAGUGAUGAAGGCCCUAGAGUUGUAAAACUCUUUCGGCGGGGACGAUAAUGAUGGUACCCGCAGAAGAAGCUCCGGCUAACUUCGUGCCAGCAGCCGCGGUAAU